rnacentral:rRNA from 1 species
UACAGAGGUCUCAAGCGUUGUUCGGAUUCAUUGGGCGUAAAGGGUUUGUAGGCGGCCUUGUAAGUCAGGUGUGAAAUCCCUCGGCUCAACCGAGGAAUAGCGCUUGAUACUGCAAGGCUUGAGGGGGACAGGGGUAAGCGGAACUGAUGGUGGAGCGGUGAAAUGCGUAGAUAUCAGGAAGAACAUCGGUGGCGAAGGCGCUCUGCUGGACCAUAACUGACACUCAGGGACGAAAGCUAGGGGAGCGAAUGGG